UACGUAGGGUGCGAGCGUUUGUCCGGAAUUAUUGGGCGUAAAGAGCUCGUAGGCGGUGUGUCACGUCGGCCGUGAAAACCUGGGGCUUAACUCUGGGCGUGCGGUCGAUACGGGCAUCACUAGAGUUCGGCAGGGGAGACUGGAAUUCCUGGUGUAGCGGUGAAAUGCGCAGAUAUCAGGAGGAACACCGGUGGCGAAGGCGGGUCUCUGGGCCGAUGACUGACGCUGAGGAGCGAAAGCAUGGGUAGCGAACAGG
rnacentral:rRNA from 1 species